AGCGAACGCUGGCGGCAGGCCUAACACAUGCAAGUCGAACGAACCUUUCGGGGUUAGUGGCGGACGGGUGAGUAACACGUGGGAACGUGCCUUUAUGUUCGGAAUAACUCAGGGAAACUUGUGCUAAUACCGAAUGUGCCCUUCGGGUGAAAGAUUAAUCGCCUUUAGAGGGGCCCGCGUCUGUUUAGCUAGGUGGUUGAGGUAAUGGCUCACCAAGGCUACGAUCAGUAGCUGGUCUGAGAGGAUGAUCAGCCACAUUGGGACUGAGACACGGCCCAAACUCCUACGGGAGGCAGCAGUGGGGAAUCUUGCGCAAUGGGCGAAAGCCUGACGGAGCCAGGCCGCGUGAAUGAUGAAGGUCUGAGGAUUGUAAAAUUCUUUAACCGGGGACGAUAAUGACGGUACCCGGAGAAGAAGCCCCGGCUAACUUCGUG
rnacentral:rRNA from 1 species